CACCCAUUGUGCUAGGCACUGUACAUACAUCCAAUGAAAAAGAUGUUCCAUGUGCCAAUGACCAGAAAGACUGAUUCAAAUAUUCUUUUAAAUGCAGGUCUUGGAUCCUGCAAGUCAAUAGAACUAUCAAGUGAGUCUCCUGACUGUACUGCCAUGUUGUUGUGCACUUCAGGUCCUUUACAUCAGAGAAGGCGAUUGAGAGGAUGCCUUUAUUCCUGUGGCUCCAGGCAGGGACACUGCUCCAUUCCUCUCCAGGACUUCUUUCAGUCAAGCUGGCUUAUAGGCCUGUGUUCCUUUCUACUGAAAUGUGUUGAGGGCUGGAAGUUUCCCUCCCUUUAUCUCCCUUCCUUCUGAUACCAACCUGGAAAUGCUCCACUGGCUACUGCACACUACCUUUAUACAUGGUGGAGUUGAAAUACCCGAGAUGUACUGUUCCAUUCAUAAAUCCUUGUUGUCUCAUGAGCAGAGAUAUUAUUAACUGAAAACGCUGGAAGAAUCCAAACUGACUCUAUUGUUAUGGAGCUCUUACACAUAGUCUUACAAAUUCUUAGUGUGUGAGUGCUGUUCAGUCUCUGAAGAAAUGUUGCAUUGCUAUUUUUGUGAUGUAAUUUCUUUAAGGGGAGCUGUUGCAAACAUUAAGAGAACUAAGCUUUGUUGUUUGGGCUGAGAUUUCCAAAAAAGAGGCAUUUGUCUGUGAGCUGUCUUUGGAGGUUAU